AGGGCUAUGCUUUGGUAGAAUAUGAGAAGUGAAGAAGCACAGAAUGCUAUCAAAGCUAUGAAUGGUGCUGAGCUUCUUACACAGAAUGUCACCGUUGACUGGGCCUUCAGCAGUGGACCCAGUGCUGGAUCUUACAGGAAAGAACUUGAGGUCUGGGAGGUCACAACGUUCAAGAAGCCCGAGAAGACGUUUCUGAUUGUAUGAUUUGGUUGGAGAGUUGUCUCCACUUCUCUCUCAGUAUCUCGGAUUCUAUCUCUAUCUUUAAGUUGCGAGUGUUUCAGCUCCUUAUUUUUUUCUGGGUUGCAUAAGUUUGGCUGUUUUGUACCUUGUGUAAUCUUAUGCAUCGGCAUAGGGUUGUUGGCGUUUGUAACACCAUGAGAUAUGUUUUAAUGCUUCUGGUUUGGGAGAUGUUAGUUGAGUAAGAAGACGCUUUCAUUUCAUUAUCA